CGCUUGAGUGCAGUGUGCCAUUGCACCUACAUACCUCCGGCGGCGGGGCUUAUUCAUGCCUAAUGGGUGAAUAAUUUGUGUUUAAUUUUUAUUAAUCUGGAUUAAGGUGACUUGCUUCAGAUAGUGCCGAAUUCUUCAAAUAAAAGAAUUUCAAAUCAUGUUAAAAGUGAAUUCAUUAUAAUAUCGAAUUUUGAGUACUCAGACAAUGGUGUGAAGUGUCAAGUGAGCGCUUAAGGUUUACUUCGCAUCUCUUGCCUUAUACAUAGGCUGCUACAUAUAUAUAUUUCUGGACUAGGCAACACUAAAUGUUGCCAGGUGCAAUCUGACAUCUCCAUUGGAAAGUUUGAUAUUUUUUAGCAUAACAUCACUCAGAACGUUUUGUCAUUUAUUCGUGAAUUGUUUUAUUUACAGGGAAUUAAAAAAUUCAUCUCAACAUUCGACAUGGAUUAUCACGACAUGAGUGCAUCGAUGAACUAAAAUCUUUGUAUAGAUAUGAAGCACCAUCCUAUAGCACUUUGAAAAACUGGUACAACGAAUUCAAUCGUGGCCGACGCUCGCUGAAAGACGAUGUAACAUACCUUCAGAUAGAGGCAUGCCUAUGCAUUUCUUCCACCAGCAUACAUUCGAUAUUGCAUGAACACCUGACCGUAAAAAGGUUUGUUCUCGUUGGAUCUCGCACAAUUUGACAAUCGCUCAAAAAAAGGCUCGUGUGAAUUGGUGUAAAGAAAUGCUGAAAAAAUACGAUCGCGGUGCUUCAAAAGACGUUAAUAAGAUCGUCACAGAUGACGAAUCAUGGAUCUAUGCGUAUGAGCCUGAAACAAAACAGCAAUCGACCGUGUGGGUCUUCUAAGACGAGCCAAAUCCAACGAAAAAAAAAAAAACAUUUUCGUUGAUAAAUAUGCCUAUUUUCAUUAUUAGGCCAGAAAUAUAUAUAGCAGCCCUCGUAAGUAGCAUGAGAAACGACUAUUGAUAUCUAGGCAUAUGCAUACGCUGUUGUAUACUUUUAUAUCUGCUGUAUCAAUACACUCUUAAGGAGAUAUUCCUAUAUAGAAAGUUGCCAAUACAAGGGUGGAAACAUCUCAACUAGUGAAUUUGGCGGCUGAAACAGUAUUUUUGCGGACAGUUCUUCUUCAUUACUUUCAUUUGCAAGAAACCUAAGCCGAAAGUCAUCACAUUUUAGGAUGGAUAUCCUUAGACUGAACGAACAUGGCAAAAGUAGUUUCACGCAUUGAAAAUGGUGAUUUUGACUUGCAGAAGGAAGAGCAAAAGGGAUCCAAAAACA